rnacentral:rRNA from 1 species
GGAACACCAAUGGCGAAGGCAGGACUCUGGGCCAUUACUGACACUGAGGAGCGAAAGCGUGGGGAGCGAACAGGAUUAGAUACCCUGGUAGUCCACGCCGUAAACGGUGGGCACUAGUUGUGGGGACCUUCCACGGUCUCUGCGACGCAGCUAACGCAUUAAGUGCCCCGCCUGGGGAGUACGAUCGCAAGAUUAAAACUCAAAGGAAUUGACGGGGCCCCGCACAAGCAGCGGAGCAUGCGGCUUAAUUCGACGCAACGCGAAGAACCUUACCAAGGCUUGACAUAUACAGGAAUAUGGCAGAGAUGUCAUAGCCGCAAGGUCUGUAUACAGGUGGUGCAUGGUUGUCGUCAGCUCGUGUCGUGAGAUGUUGGGUUAAGUCCCGCAACGAGCGCAACCCUCGUUCUGUGUUGCCAGCAUUUAGUUGGGGACUCACAGGAGACUGCCGGGGUUAACUCGGAGGAAGGUGGGGAUGACGUCAAAUCAUCAUGCCCCUUAUGUCUUGGGCUGCACGCAUGCUACAAUGGCUGGUACAAACGGCUGCAAUACCGCAAGGUGGAGCGAAUCCGAGAAAGCCAGUCUCAGUUCGGAUUGGGGUCUGCAACUCGACCCCAUGAAGUCGGAGUUGCUAGUAAUCGUAGAUCAGCAACGCUACGGUGAUACGUUCCCGGGGCUUGUACACACCGCCCGUCACGUCACGAAAGUCGGUAACA